rnacentral:tRNA from 1 species
AGCAUGGCAAUACAUUGGCAACAGGCCGUCAGGCUGAUAACCUGAAGGUCGUAGGUUCAAAUCCUACCCUCGCAACCA